UGGCCCAGUCAAUUUCAGUGCCAUCAUGGUCUUCACUUGUGAUUCUGAGACAAGGUAGACUGGAAAGAUAUCCUCCAGAGUUGAUUAUAUAGAAGAUACAUAGUGACUUCAAGACCAGCAAGGUACAGAUUUUCCCAAAACCUUGCUGCCUGGUACAUAGGAUAUAUAAAUCAGAAAGACACAAUGUCCAACCCAUGUAUCAGUUGAAAUCAUGGUUCAACUAUGAAACCUUCCAUAAACCAGUGAGCCCACGAUGCCCAAGCACUACAGUGGUGAGAUAUUGGAGAGCUGCCACCUAACUCCAGAGGGCCAUAAAGAGCAGAGGGAAAAACUGAAGACAGCAAACAACAACCUAAUUGACGUCAAGUAUGCCGUAAAUUUCAGGACAAGAAAAUACAUUUAAUCAGAUUAUUCUCCUUUGCAGAAGAACACGAGGUGAUCUCAUUGAAAGAUACAAAAUUCUCUCAGAGACUGACGGAAUAGAAGAAGAGAUCAUGCAUUUCCUCCAACAAACAUUUGGCUGAAGGAAGUCCUUUGGGUCAAGCAGCAUCUAUGAGAUGAAAGGAACUGUCAACAUUUGGGAUUGAUGCAAGAUUUCAACCUGAAACACCCAGACAGGCACUUUUUUGAUCGGGACAUCACCUUAACUUGGGACAUGAUCAUCAAAAUGAUUGCUGCUGUAUGAAAUAAAUACUAGGGAGAGAUGAUGAAAUUGCAAUCGGGCAGCAGAUCAGGCAGAAACAGGUAAUAAAGCAGGUUAGCUUUCAGCAUUUAAGAGAAGUUUGGUUAAGUAUAUGGAUGGGAGGGGUGUGGAAGGCUAUGUUUCAGGCGCAGUCGAUGGGAUGAGGUAGAUGAAUAGUUUGAAAUGGACUAGAGAUGGGCCGAAGGUCCUGUUCCUAUGCUGUAGUGCUAUACGACUCUAAUCACUUCCAAUGUUUGCAUGUUAACAUGUUUUUAAGCAAGCACAUACACUUUCUCCCCCAAGACAGAUUGCAGGGAGGGUACUCUACUUUGUGCACUUCUCUGCACAAGUGAUUCACAUCUGUACAAUGAACCAAGAUUGAAGGAAGCAAUUUCCACUAACAUCCUUUACAGAAAUCUCCCUUCUAUACAUGGACACACUCCUAUUGAACCCAAGCCUCCUGAACCACUGCUCUCCUCUGAGCUCAGUUAACUAACUCACAAGCUGACAAGUUACUCCGCAGGCUGACACCUAUUGCAAGCCCAGAAUGUGGUCUGAAGCCACCCUCUCCAUUGCUCUUCCCCAUUGUGCUAACUGCUUGAGGCCUCACAGUCCUAGAAAGGAAAUGACAAGUCAGAUGUUAAAAUUGUAUUUGCCUCCUGUUUUGGCCCUUGAGCUGCAGCUGGGAGUCAAGAAUUCAGGAUUAACCAUGAAAAAUCCGAAAUUUAAAUUCAAUAAAUCGGUUAAUUUCUGAAGCAGCAGCAGAAAAACCAUCUCAAAGCAUGUCUUGUUGCAGAUACCCCACUGGCUCAGCCGCAGUAUUCAGAAAAUCCUCCAGUAUCUAUUUGGUAUGGAGAAUAUGUGUUUGAAGUCCCUCUUGUACUGUUGACUAUGAAUGAGCACAGCAAGGCACUCAAUUUAAAUAAUUAUUGUGAGGAUUAGUCACAGGAAUAAAAAUGCUUUGGGAUAAGACCAAGUAGUCUUAGUUGGAUCAAUUCUCAUCAACAUACUUUAUUCAAAAAUAAAAUUAUAUACAAUAAACCAUUCAUUGACUUUCAAUCCUUUAUAACU